rnacentral:rRNA from 1 species
AUUGAACGCUGGCGGCAUGCCUUACACAUGCAAGUCGAACGGCAGCACGGACUUCGGUCUGGUGGCGAGUGGCGAACGGGUGAGUAAUGUAUCGGAACGUACCUUUCAGUGGGGGAUAACGUAGCGAAAGGUACGCUAAUACCGCAUAUUCUGUGAGCAGGAAAGCAGGGGAUCGAAAGACCUUGCGCUGAUUGAUCGGCCGAUAUCAGAUUAGCUAGUUGGUGGGGUAAAGGCCUACCAAGGCGACGAUCUGUAGCGGAUCUGAGAGGAUGAUCCGCCACACUGGAACUGAGACACGGUCCAGACUCCUACGGGAGGCAGCAGUGGGGAAUUUUGGACAAUGGGGGCAACCCUGAUCCAGCCAUGCCGCGUGAGUGAAGAAGGCCUUCGGGUUGUAAAGCUCUUUCGGCAGGGAAGAAAUCGCAUAGGCUAAUACCCUGUGUGGAUGACGGUACCGGAAUAAGAAGCACCGGCUAACUACGUG